rnacentral:rRNA from 1 species
UUGAAUUUCGGGGUUAGUAGGUUGGUCAUGCCUCUGGUAUGUACUGGUCUCACUGAUUCCUCCUUCCUGAUGAACCUUAACNUAGCCUUAAUUNNAGGUUGUUUUGGGGGUUUUAGGACGUGUUACUUUUCAAAAAUUAAAGUGUUUAAAGGUUACAAGACUAACGACUUGAAUACAUUAGCAUGAGUAAUGAAUAGACGCUCGAUCCUAUUUUGUUGGUUUCUAGGAUUGACGUAAUGAUUAAUAGGGAUAGUUGGGGGCAUUAGUAUUCAAUUGUCAGAGGUGAAAUUCUUGGAUUUAUUGAAGACUAACUACUGCGAAAGCAUUUGCCAAGGAUGUUUUCAUUAAUCAAGAACGAAAGUUAGGGGAUCGAAGACGAUCAGAUACCGUCGUAGUCUUAACCAUAAACUAUGCCGACUAGGGAUCGGAUGAUGUUAAUUUUUAAUGUCUC